rnacentral:rRNA from 1 species
UGGGGAAUUUUUGGACAAUGGGCGAAAGCCUGAUCCAGCAAUGCCGCGUGUGUGAAGAAGGCCUUCGGGUUGUAAAGCACUUUUUGUCCGGAAAGAAAUCCUUGGCUCUAAUACAGUCGGGGGAUGACGGUACCGGAAGAAUAAGCACCGGCUAACUACGUGCCAGCAGCCGCGGUAAUACGUAGGGUGCAAGCGUUAAUCGGAAUUACUGGGCGUAAAGCGCGCGCAGGCGGUUUGCUAAGACCGAUGUGAAAUCCCCGGGCUCAACCUGGGGAACUGCAUUGGUGACUGGCAGGCUAGAGUAUGGCAGAGGGGGGUAGAAUUCCACGUGUAGCAGUGAAAUGCGUAGAGAUGUGGAGGAAUACCGAUGGCGAAGGCAGCCCCCUGGGCCAAUACUGACGCUCAUGCACGAAAGCGUGGGGAGCAAACAGGAUUAGAUACCCUGGUAGUCCACGCCCUAAACGAUGUCAACU